UCGAUUUUUUCUUUGCUCAUUCUUUUUCUUUCACCCAGAAAAAUUUGGAAUUUGGUAACCAAAAAAAACAAAUAUGCUAGAUACACGACUAAUAUGGAUGACCAUUAUCAUGGCAGUGUUGACGAUUUUUGUAUCAUUCAUUGUAGCCAUUCGUCGAAGAUUAAUGUUGACGGUAAUUAAAAAUAUUCUACAUUCUAAUACACAAAUGAUAAAAGAAUUUAUUACAAAUGAUGAUAAUAAUGAUGAUGAUCAAAAUAAAUGUUUAGAACGAAUACGAAAUACAUUGGUAGAAGUACGUAUAAGAAAAAUGAUGAUUGAAUAUUUACGUCGAAAAUUGAUUGAAAUUCGAAAACGAGAAAGCCAUAUGAUCACAACAUCAGCACCAGCAGUAGUGGCCAACAGUGCGACAUCUGUUGUUUCAACGGAAAAGUAAAUGGAAAUUUUGAAUUUAUAUUUUCUCUGUUUUUGUGUGAAUUCUUUGAGAUUCUAUUAGUGAGAAUAAAUGUCUUGUUUUUUCAAUGUCAGAAUAAUGCAGAAUUUACAUUUUUUUUUAGUUUUUCGCUUUUAUGAUUCCGAUCAUUUUAUGGCUAAACAAAAAAAAAAAAAAAAAUAAACGAUCCAUAUCGACUGGGGAAGGGGGAUCACAAAUUGAAAUCCGAAAACUUUAAUAUUUCACAGGUAAAUCUGAAACCUAUUGCCUAGAAAAAAGUCGUUAACAACGACACGAAUUUUUUUUUUAUUUAUUUAUUUUCGCUCCAGCAACUGCUGCGCACAUUCAAUUUGUUCAAUAUGUGGAGAAUUGCAACUGGAAAAAAAAAUAAAUAACGCCCAAUCAAAGAUUUAUCGAAGAAAAAAAAAUCAAAUGAAUGACAGAAGAAGAUGCAAACUCUACCAAUACUGCCACCACCAUUUUUUAUGUUUAUGAUGGCCAUGGUAAUGGUAAUGGUUAACUACAUCAAACCAAAAAACGAUCACCAACCAACUAAAUCGGCAGCCAUGGAUUUCAGUGUUGUUUUUUUGGCCGUUUAAAAACACACAUGCACACCAAAUCAUAAUCAGGAUAAUAACCAUUUUAUCACAUCACAACAUUUAUACAACUACAACGAUGGUGAUGACUAUGACUACGGCUACGGCUACAACGACAAUGGAUUAACGUUGAAAUGAAAUUUUUUUUUUUUUUUAACCAUUGCAACAUCCAUUACAAAUUGAUGAUUACAAUCAUCAUCAACCACUAUGUGAAUGAUUAAUUUCUACAUUCCAUAUACUGUUGUGGUUAUUUUCCUUGAUGGAUGAUUGAAAAAUUUUUAUGAUGAUGAUGAUGAUGAUGAUGGUUGACAUCACAGAGAGGAAUGAUUGAUAAAAAAUGACUUUUUAUCAAUCAUCCAAAAAAAAACUUUUGUUUUGGUCUCAAAAUAUACACAUAAUAAUGUGCGUAUAUGUGAUGAUGAUUAAUCCGACAACAACAAAAAAUUAAAUUAAAUUUUACGAUCCAACAAAACAAAUCAAUCAUAUCGUCGAUAAUUUUGAAUCAUCGAUCAUUACAUUGAUUGGGAAGGGAAAAAAAGGAUUGAUUAAACAAACAAACAGCAACAGCAACAUCAACAGUGAUGACUAAAAACGUUCGAAUGAAAACAAACAAAACAAAAAAUUCGUAUAAUAAUCUCAUCAGCAUAAUCUUUUGAAUCAAGCAUUUGGAUUUGGAUUUCGAUUGAUUGGUUGAUUGAUUAAUUGAUUGAUUGAAAAGAACAAAGUUUUUUUUACGAAC